UACCUGGUUGAUCUUGCCAGUAGUCAUAUGCUUGUCUCAAAGAUUAAGCCAUACAUGUGUAAGUAUGAACGAAUUCAGGCUGUGAAACUGCGAAUGGCUCAUUAAAUCAGUUAUAGUUUGUUUGAUGGUAACUACUACUCGGAUAAACAUAGUAAUUCUAGAGCUAAUACGUGCAACAAACCCCGACUUCUGGAAGGGAUGCAUUUAUUAGAUAAAAGGUCGACGCGGGCUCUGUGAAAGGCCCCGUCCCAGUUUCCCUUACCGCCGGUUUGUCCUCAGUUCGCUUGCCCCGACCCAAAAUGGCCCUUUAUG
rfam:Brassica napus, WGS project CCCW01000000 data, contig: 41731